GAGUCUGACAACGAAGCGUACAUUAGGAUGAUGUUGCUUCAUGGACACACCAGAAGGUGCUGCAGGGAAGGCUUCAUGAUGAAGCGAGAGGAAAACGCAGGAACGCGUUAAGGGACACCUCCAGGAUGGAGAAUGUGAGCCGGUAGGGAUGGUCGGCGGAUCAGGAUGAUCAAGGACACGCUUUAAGGACAAAGCUAUGUCACAUCGGGGUGGUGUGAGCAUGAUGCGAUGUUUAAGGAUGAACAGGUCAGGAGACCGCAGGAAAAGUUGUCACGGAUGAGCAGGGAGCACAAUAGGUAGCUGGAUUGCUGCAAAACGAACCGGGAGCACUGUUUUUACAGUGCUCCCUUUUUUUAUU
rnacentral:other from 1 species